GACGAACGCUGGCGGCGUGCUUAACACAUGCAAGUCGAACGGAAAGGCCCUGCUUUUGUUGGGUGCUCGAUUGCCGAACGGGUGAGUAACACGUGAGUAACCUGCCCUUGACUUUGGGAUAACUUCACGAAACUGGGGCGCAUACCGGAUAGGAUCUCCUGCAGCGUGUGGUGGGUUGGAGAGUUUCGGCGGUUGUGGAUGGAUUCGCGGCUUAUGAGCUUGUUGGUGUGGUAGUUGCUGCCCAAGGCUUUGACGGGUAGCCUGCCUGAGAGGGGGAACGGGCACAUUGGGACUAAGAGAGGCACCAGACUCCUACGGGAGGCAGCAGUGGGGAAUAUUGCACAAUGGGCGGAAGCGUGAUGCAGCAACGCCGCGUGCGGGAUGACGGCCUUCGGGUUGUAAACAGCUUUCGCAUGUGACGAAGCGUGAGUGACGGUAAUGGGUAAAGAAGCACCGGCUAACUACGUG
rnacentral:rRNA from 1 species